rnacentral:rRNA from 1 species
UCUGCUAUCCCGGUUUACUAUAUGGCCAAUAUUUUAUUUUCAAAAAAAAUCAUUGCAAAACUCACUGCUAUUAUUAGGAAUUUUUGGUGGAUAGGGGUUCGAGAAACAGAUUCGAGGAAGAUUCUUUGUCUCAGAGCUUGGAAGGAUAUUACCAAUUCCAAGGCAGAAGGUGGAUUAGGCAUCAGAAACUUAAAAGCGAUAAAUGAAAGUCUUAUUGUUGCUGCAGCAUGGAGGUUAGCAAAAGAUCCUUCUUCCCAUUUAUAUUGUGUUGUUCAAUCAAAGUAUUUCCCUGCUACAACUAUUUGGAAGGCCUCUUUUGCCCCUCCUAAAUUUGCUUUUUGGGCUGCUGUCUUAAAAAUGCUUCCUAAACUCAAAGAGCAUGCUUUUUAUCAACUCACUCAAGGAAAUAUUUCUUUAUGGAGCAACCAUUGGUGUAUUAUUUGGAAUUCUAUUCAUGAUUUCCUUAUUCCUCAACAAGCAGGCUUUGUUUAUCCUUCCUUGGUCAGAGACCUUUGGCUGCCUGGCCAAAGAAUUUGGAACCAU